GUGCUAUUCUUAUGACGGGGAAAAAACGAGCUUCGAAGGACCGUGCUUCUGUGUUGAAUGUGGCGUCUACACAGGCAUCUACUUUGAACAGCUCUGAGAAUAUGCUCCAGGGAGUGAAGUGAGGAAUAACACAACCAUCCUGGCGCUGGCCUCCCUGCUUCUACCCUUGACUCCCUCCAGCUGGUGCUCUGCACGGCAACCAGAGGACACAUCAUCUUUUAAUACACGAUGCAGCCCACUUAUUCAGCACAGGCUUCAAUGUGUAAUUGGCAGGCCAAGAGACUGAGCUCUCCCAGCUCAUCUGCGCUGUGAAAAUGUGGAAAUCGCCUUUUGUGCCUGUUUUCCUCUCCCAAAAUAUAUAUUUUUUUGGCAGAGAAAUGAGCACAUUGUCUAUAUAGCCCUA